AGAUUAAGUUAUUAAGGGCGCACGGUGGAUGCCUUGGCACUAGAAGCCGAUGAAGGACGUUACUAACGACGAUAUGCUUUGGGGAGCUGUAAGUAAGCUUUGAUCCAGAGAUUUCCGAAUGGGGAAACCCAGCAUGAGUUAUGUCAUGUUAUCGAUAUGUGAAUACAUAGCAUAUCAGAAGGCACACCCGGAGAACUGAAACAUCUUAGUACCCGGAGGAAGAGAAAGAAAAUUCGAUUCCCUUAGUAGCGGCGAGCGAAACGGGAAGAGCCCAAACCAACAAGCUUGCUUGUUGGGGUUGUAGGACACUCUAUACGGAGUUACAAAGGACGACAUUAGACGAAUCAUCUGGAAAGAUGAAUCAAAGAAGGUAAUAAUCCUGUAGUCGAAAAUGUUGUCUCUCUUGAGUGGAUCCUGAGUACGACGGAGCACGUGAAAUUCCGUCGGAAUCUGGGAGGACCAUCUCCUAAGGCUAAAUACUCUCUAGUGACCGAUAGUGAACCAGUACCGUGAGGGAAAGGUGAAAAGCACCCCGGAAGGGGAGUGAAAUAGAACCUGAAACCGUGUGCUUACAAGUAGUCAGAGCCCGUUAAUGGGUGAUGGCGUGCCUUUUGUAGAAUGAACCGGCGAGUUACGAUUUGAUGCAAGGUUAAGCAGUAAAUGUGGAGCCGUAGCGAAAGCGAGUCUGAAUAGGGCGUUUAGUAUUUGGUCGUAGACCCGAAACCAGGUGAUCUACCCUUGGUCAGGUUGAAGUUCAGGUAACACUGAAUGGAGGACCGAACCGACUUACGUUGAAAAGUGAGCGGAUGAACUGAGGGUAGCGGAGAAAUUCCAAUCGAACCUGGAGAUAGCUGGUUCUCUCCGAAAUAGCUUUAGGGCUAGCCUCAAGUGAUGAUUAUUGGAGGUAGAGCACUGUUUGGACGAGGGGCCCCUCUCGGGUUACCGAAUUCAGACAAACUCCGAAUGCCAAUUAAUUUAACUUGGGAGUCAGAACAUGGGUGAUAAGGUCCGUGUUCGAAAGGGAAACAGCCCAGACCACCAGCUAAGGUCCCAAAAUAUAUGUUAAGUGGAAAAGGAUGUGGCGUUGCCCAGACAACUAGGAUGUUGGCUUAGAAGCAGCCAUCAUUUAAAGAGUGCGUAAUAGCUCACUAGUCGAGUGACACUGCGCCGAAAAUGUACCGGGGCUAAACAUAUUACCGAAGCUGUGGAUUGUCCUUUGGACAAUGGUAGGAGAGCGUUCUAAGGGCGUUGAAGCAUGAUCGUAAGGACAUGUGGAGCGCUUAGAAGUGAGAAUGCCGGUGUGAGUAGCGAAAGACGGGUGAGAAUCCCGUCCACCGAUUGACUAAGGUUUCCAGAGGAAGGCUCGUCCGCUCUGGGUUAGUCGGGUCCUAAGCUGAGGCCGACAGGCGUAGGCGAUGGAUAACAGGUUGAUAUUCCUGUACCACCUAUAAUCGUUUUAAUCGAUGGGGGGACGCAGUAGGAUAGGCGAAGCGUGCGAUUGGAUUGCACGUCUAAGCAGUAAGGCUGAGUAUUAGGCAAAUCCGGUACUCAUUAAGGCUGAGCUGUGAUGGGGAGAAGACAUUGUGUCUUCGAGUCGUUGAUUUCACACUGCCGAGAAAAGCCUCUAGAUAGAAAAUAGGUGCCCGUACCGCAAACCGACACAGGUAGUCAAGAUGAGAAUUCUAAGGUGAGCGAGCGAACUCUCGUUAAGGAACUCGGCAAAAUGACCCCGUAACUUCGGGAGAAGGGGUGCUCUUUAGGGUUAACGCCCAGAAGAGCCGCAGUGAAUAGGCCCAAGCGACUGUUUAUCAAAAACACAGGUCUCUGCUAAACCGUAAGGUGAUGUAUAGGGGCUGACGCCUGCCCGGUGCUGGAAGGUUAAGAGGAGUGGUUAGCUUCUGCGAAGCUACGAAUCGAAGCCCCAGUAAACGGCGGCCGUAACUAUAACGGUCCUAAGGUAGCGAAAUUCCUUGUCGGGUAAGUUCCGACCCGCACGAAAGGCGUAACGAUUUGGGCACUGUCUCAACGAGAGACUCGGUGAAAUCAUAGUACCUGUGAAGAUGCAGGUUACCCGCGACAGGACGGAAAGACCCCGUGGAGCUUUACUGUAGCCUGAUAUUGAAAUUCGGCACAGCUUGUACAGGAUAGGUAGGAGCCUUUGAAACGUGAGCGCUAGCUUACGUGGAGGCGCUGGUGGGAUACUACCCUAGCUGUGUUGGCUUUCUAACCCGCACCACUUAUCGUGGUGGGAGACAGUGUCAGGCGGGCAGUUUGACUGGGGCGGUCGCCUCCUAAAAGGUAACGGAGGCGCUCAAAGGUUCCCUCAGAAUGGUUGGAAAUCAUUCAUAGAGUGUAAAGGCAUAAGGGAGCUUGACUGCGAGACCUACAAGUCGAGCAGGGUCGAAAGACGGACUUAGUGAUCCGGUGGUUCCGCAUGGAAGGGCCAUCGCUCAACGGAUAAAAGCUACCCCGGGGAUAACAGGCUUAUCUCCCCCAAGAGUUCACAUCGACGGGGAGGUUUGGCACCUCGAUGUCGGCUCAUCGCAUCCUGGGGCUGUAGUCGGUCCCAAGGGUUGGGCUGUUCGCCCAUUAAAGCGGUACGCGAGCUGGGUUCAGAACGUCGUGAGACAGUUCGGUCCCUAUCCGUCGUGGGCGUAGGAAAUUUGAGAGGAGCUGUCCUUAGUACGAGAGGACCGGGAUGGACAUACCUCUGGUGUACCAGUUGUCGUGCCAACGGCAUAGCUGGGUAGCUAUGUGUGGACGGGAUAAGUGCUGAAAGCAUCUAAGCAUGAAGCCCCCCUCAAGAUGAGAUUUCCCAACUUCGGUUAUAAGAUCCCUCAAAGAUGAUGAGGUUAAUAGGUUCGAGGUGGAAGCAUGGUGACAUGUGGAGCUGACGAAUACUAAUCGAUCGAAGACUUAAUCAAA
rnacentral:rRNA from 1 species